GGGUCGAUGGUGUAGCUGGUUAUCGCAUCUGUCUAACAUUUAAUAUCCUUCCGGAGGUCAUGUUCACAGAAGGUCCUCAGUUCGAACCUGGGUCGACUCA
rnacentral:tRNA from 1 species